CAGACAUCAAGUGACAGGUACCUGACUGAACCCUCUGGAAACCAAGAAUGGAGUGAGAGAUCCACUUCAUCCUUACAACAGACACCAAGUGACCUGACUGAACCCUCUGGAGACCAUGAAUGGAGUGAGAGAUCCACUUCAUCCUUUCAACAGACAUCAAGUGACAGGUACCUGACUGAACCCUCUGGAAACCAAGAAUGGAGUGAGAGAUCCACUUCAUCCUUACAACAGACACCAAGUGACCUGACUGAACCCUCUGGAGACCAUGAAUGGAGUGAGAGAUCCACUUCAUCCUUUCAACAGACAUCAAGUGACAGGUACCUGACUGAACCCUCUGGAAACCAAGAAUGGAGUGAGAGAUCCACUUCAUCCUUACAACAGGUUACUACUUCUUAUCAUGAUAUACUAGGUUUGAAUUUUCAAUGUUCUUUGACAAACACAGGAGAAGUUAUAAAUCAGAAACAUGGACUCUCCAUGAUUUCAGUC